rfam:Thalassobius sp. CECT 5114 genome assembly, contig: 0022
AUUGGCCAGGAUCGCCCCCCGUCAGCGAGUUUCGCCCACGGGGGCCUUCGUG